rnacentral:misc_RNA from 1 species
UCUCCGUUUCACAGAGCAGUCUGUCUCGAGUGCGUAGGACUCUCGUCCUACUAGCAACAAGACACAGGGGUUGCGCUCGUUACCGGACUUAACCGAACACCUCACGGCACGAGCUGACGACAGCCAUGCAGCACCUGUGUACGCUGGUAUUGCUACCUCGUUAGGCUUUCACCCUUCUACUACGUACAUGUCAAGGCCAGGUAAGGUUCUUCGCGUUGCAUCGAAUUAAGCCACAUGCUCCACCGCUUGUGCGGGCCCCCGUCAAUUUCUUUGAGUUUUAAUCUUGCGACCGUACUCCCCAGGCGGUGCAUUUAACGCGUUAGCUCCGAGACGAAGGGGGUCGAAUCCCCGCAUCUCAAAUGCACACCGUUUACAGCUAGGACUAC